UACAGAGGGGGCAAGCGUUGUUCGGAAUUACUGGGCGUAAAGGCGCGUAGGCGGCCUGUUAAGUCGAACGUGAAAUCCCGGGCUCAACCCGGGAACUGCGUCCGAUACUGGCAGGCUUGAAUCCGGGAGAGGGAUGCGGAAUUCCAGGUGUAGCGGUGAAAUGCGUAGAUAUCUGGAGGAACACCGGUGGCGAAGGCGGCAUCCUGGACCGGCAUUGACGCUGAGGCGCGAAAGCGUGGGAGCAAACAGG
rnacentral:rRNA from 1 species